rnacentral:rRNA from 1 species
AUACGUAGGGAGCGAGCGUUGUCCGGAAUUACUGGGUGUAAAGGGAGCGUAGGCGGGAGUGCAAGUCAGAUGUGAAAUGCAUGGGCUCAACCCAUGGGCUGCAUUUGAAACUGCAUUUCUUGAGUGAAGUAGAGGUAAGCGGAAUUCCUGGUGUAGCGGUGAAAUGCGUAGAUAUCAGGAGGAACACCGGUGGCGAAGGCGGCUUACUGGGCUUUACUGACGCUGAGGCUCGAAAGCGUGGGGAGCAAACAGGAUUAGAUACCCUGGUAGUCCACGCUGUAAACGAUGAUUACUAGGUGUGGGGGGACUGACCCCUUCCGUGCCGCAGUUAACACAAUAAGUAAUCCACCUGGGGAGUACGGCCGCAAGGUUGAAACUCAAAUGAAUUGACGGGG